UAGGGAAUUUUCGUCAAGUGGGGGCAACCCUGAACGAGCAAUGCCGCGUGAGCGAAGAAGGUCUUCGGAUUGUAAAGCUCUGUUGACCGGGGAAAAAGGAAGGAAAGAGGAAAUGUCUUUUCUUUGGAUGGUACCCGGCCAGAAAGUCACGGCUAACUACGUGCC
rnacentral:rRNA from 1 species